CAGCCUGAUGCAGCCAUGCCGCGUGUGUGAAGAAGGCCUUCGGGUUGUAAAGCACUUUCAGUCGUGAGGAAGGUAGUGUAGUUAAUAGCUGCAUUAUUUGACGUUAGCGACAGAAGAAGCACCGGCUAACUCCGUGCCAGCAGCCGCGGUAAUACGGAGGGUGCGAGCGUUAAUCGGAAUUACUGGGCGUAAAGCGCAUGCAGGUGGUUUGUUAAGUCAGAUGUGAAAGCCCGGGGCUCAACCUCGGAAUAGCAUUUGAAACUGGCAGACUAGAGUACUGUAGAGGGGGGUAGAAUUUCAGGUGUAGCGGUGAAAUGCGUAGAGAUCUGAAGGAAUACCGGUGGCGAAGGCGGCCCCCUGGACAGAUACUGACACUCAGAUGCGAAAGCGUGGGGAGCAAACAGGAUUAGAUACCCUGGUAGUCCACGCCGUAAACGAUGUCUACUUGGAGGUUGUGGCCUUGAGCCGUGGCUUUCGGAGCUAACGCGUUAAGUAGACCGCCUGGGGAGUACGGUCGCAAGAUUAAAACUCAAAUGAAUUGACGGGGGCCCGCACAAGCGGUGGAGCAUGUGGUUUAAUUCGAUGCAACGCGAAGAACCUUACCUACUCUUGACAUCCAGAGAACUUUCCAGAGAUGGAUUGGUGCCUUCGGGAACUCUGAGACAGGUGCUGCAUGGCUGUCGUCAGCUCGUGUUGUGAAAUGUUGGGUUAAGUCCCGCAACGAGCGCAACCCUUAUCCUUGUUUGCCAGCGAGUAAUGUCGGGAACUCCAGGGAGACUGCCGGUGAUAAACCGGAGGAAGGUGGGGACGACGUCAAGUCAUCAUGGCC
rnacentral:rRNA from 1 species